rnacentral:rRNA from 1 species
AACGAACGCUGGCGGCAUGCCUAACACAUGCAAGUCGAACGAGACCUUCGGGUCUAGUGGCGCACGGGUGCGUAACGCGUGGGAAUCUGCCCUUCGGUUGGGAAUAACUGAGAGAAAUUUCAGCUAAUACCUUAUAAUGUCUUCGGACCAAAGAUUUAUCGCCGAGGGAUGAGCCCGCGUAGGAUUAGGUAGUUGGUGGGGUAAUGGCCUACCAAGCCGACGAUCCUUAGCUGGUCUGAGAGGAUGAUCAGCCACACUGGGACUGAGACACGGCCCAGACUCCUACGGGAGGCAGCAGUGGGGAAUAUUGGACAAUGGGCGAAAGCCUGAUCCAGCAAUGCCGCGCGAGUGAUGAAGGCCUUAGGGUUGUAAAGCUCUUUUACCCGGGAUGAUAAUGACAGUACCGGGAGAAUAAGCUCCGGCUAACUCCGUG